CCUACGGGAUGCAGCAGUGGGGAAUAUUGCACAAUGGGCGCAAGCCUGAUGCAGCCAUGCCGCGUGUAUGAAGAAGGCCUUCGGGUUGUAAAGUACUUUCAGCGAGGAGGAAGGCAUUAAGGUUAAUAACCUUGGUGAUUGACGUUACUUGCAGAAGAAGCACCGGCUAACUCCGUGCCAGCAGCCGCGGUAAUACGGAGGGUGCAAGCGUUAAUCGGAAUUACUGGGCGUAAAGCGCACGCAGGCGGUCUGUCAAGUCGGAUGUGGAAUCCCCGGGCUCAACCUGGGAACUGCAUUCGAAACUGGCAGGCUAGAGUCUUGUAGAGGGGGGUAGAAUUCCAGGUGUAGCGGUGAAAUGCGUAGAGAUCUGGAGGAAUACCGGUGGCGAAGGCGGCCCCCUGGACAAAGACUGACGCUCAGGUGCGAAAGCGUGGGGAGCAAACAGGAUUAGAUACCCUCGUAG
rnacentral:rRNA from 1 species